rnacentral:tRNA from 1 species
GUGACUAUAAGUUAACGGUAGACUGCUUAUUACCAAAUAAGAUGUGCUGAUUCGAAUUCAGCUAGUCACA